GAUGAACGCUGGCGGCGUGCCUAAUACAUGCAAGUCGAGCGAACAGACGAGGAGCUUGCUCCUCUGACGUUAGCGGCGGACGGGUGAGUAACACGUGGAUAACCUACCUAUAAGACUGGGAUAACUUCGGGAAACCGGAGCUAAUACCGGAUAAUAUAUUGAACCGCAUGGUUCAAUAGUGAAAGACGGUUUUGCUGUCACUUAUAGAUGGAUCCGCGCCGCAUUAGCUAGUUGGUAAGGUAACGGCUUACCAAGGCGACGAUGCGUAGCCGACCUGAGAGGGUGAUCGGCCACACUGGAACUGAGACACGGUCCAGACUCCUACGGGAGGCAGCAGUAGGGAAUCUUCCGCAAUGGGCGAAAGCCUGACGGAGCAACGCCGCGUGAGUGAUGAAGGUCUUCGGAUCGUAAAACUCUGUUAUUAGGGAAGAACAAAUGUGUAAGUAACUACGCACGUCUUGACGGUACCUAAUCAGAAAGCCACGGCUAACUACGU
rnacentral:rRNA from 1 species